rnacentral:tRNA from 1 species
CGGGUUGUGGUUUAGAGGUAGAGCGCUUGUCUAGCAUGCAUGGGGCCCUGGGUUCAAUCCUCAGCAUCACAC